UUUAAGGGCUGGCAAUGGAGGUGAGGGAAUUUUGCUGGAGGUUCCUGUGUCCUUGAGACCUUGCAAGGGAGGCAGUUGGAGACUGUAUUGCUUUAAGGUUUACAACAGCAGCGUGUGAAGAAGUAGGCUGUGAGGAGUCUUCCGUCUUGUCCCAUGUCUGACUACUAUCAUAAAUGUCCAUUUUGUACUGCAGCCAUCUGCAUUACAGUUACUCUCUAAAGAUCUCACAUGGAAUCAAGGCUGCAUUCAGUCGUGGUUUUGUAUCAACAGACAGGGAAUUUGAACAUGGAGAGGAAACUGGCCGGAAUGCAGGCACAAGUUGCAGAGGACUGGUAAACACUUUAACAAACACAAAUGGGUAAAAACAUCUGUUCCCUGGGGAAAGAAGGACUGCAGAAAUAACAAGUGAACUUACUUGUGUUUGUGACAGUAUUUUUCAAGAGGCUUUUGUUUCAAACUUGAGGAAACGCUCCUCAACUACUGAAAACUGUUCCAUGGCCUAAGUAUAUAAUUAUCAGGAAGUUCUGGGCCCCGUGUUUGUGCUUUAUCAUAUGCAGUACUUCAGUUAUUAAAUGUCUCAUAAGCUUCUGUGAGCCUGAAGUCAGCAGGGCUUCUCUGAUUUAUACCACCUGAGGAUCCAGCCUCAGCAGAGACUACAGCUUUAUUUGAAUUCUGACUGCGUUGCCCUGUAUUUUUAGGGGGAUGCAAUAGUGUGGGGGUUUGGCAUGCUGGCCGGUCAACUGUUGCUCUGC
rnacentral:lncRNA from 1 species